CUGACCCUGAGUCAAGGCUAGCAGCUUCCUGAUGCUGUUGGUUUCAAGCAGGAGCCUAAAGAGAUGUCUUUCUAUGGUCUGUUGGCCAUUUCAGAACUUGGGCAGUGAAAUGAUCAAUUCAUUAGAAAGAAAGAGCU
ensembl:snoRNA small nucleolar RNA SNORA2/SNORA34 family